rnacentral:misc_RNA from 1 species
CUGAGUUGCAAAACUCCCAAACCCACUGUGAACCUACCACUGUUGCUUCGGCGGAUCCGCCCCGGGCGCACCCUUCAGGGGGUGUGCCCCGGAACCAGGCGCCCGCCGGGGGACCGAAACCUCUGUAUCUUCAGUUGAGUUACUCUGAGUGUGAUUUCUAAAAUCAAAAUUA